CAUGUGGUUAAGGUAGAUCAAGGUGUCAGUGUCCACUUAUCCCCAGUGUAAAUAUGACAUAUCGGGAAAAGUCGGAAAUUGAAAGAUAACUAUAGCAUGUACAUGAAAAUCAAUUUCAGAUUUGAAAUCAGCAUUGAAAGAACAUAUAAGAACAGUUGAAAAAAUCUCAUGCAGCAGAAAAUGAAAAAGAAAAAUUGUUCCCCAGUGAUCCACUGAAAAAUGGAGCCCUUGCCUCUGGAACUUUCUUUGGCAACGGUUCUAAUACUGUUCUUUUUCCACUCAGCAAUCUAUCACUGGUCAGUAGCAGAUGCGAGACAUUCUGAACUUUGCCUGGUGGAGCUAUUCUGAGCAACUCGCCGAUCGCACCUGCAGGAGGGAGAUCACAUUCACAAGGGAAAUAGCCAUGGAAGAAAUCCUGCUAAAGACCAGAUCACUGGAUUCCUUCCCGGUUACCCUUUAGAGGGAUGCAAAUGAUUUGUGGCAGUGUUUUGUUGCUGUGGUGGUUCUAAAAGGAUAUCUAUGGGGCUAGGAGAUCAUCGUAUUCUGAAGUGAAGGAGCUGACAAAUGAUCGUCCACAGCCCAGGUAUGCAACAAAAUCACAUGCCUGUUUACUGAGAGGCAAGCCCCAGACAGGAGGGCCAACUUGGCCCCGCAACCGUGCAGGUGCCCAGGGUGCACUGAAUUUUGUGGCUGCGUGAGCACCCAGGACCCCAGGAAACCGGCACCCUGUGUCCCAAGAAGUGGUAUGGGCAGUCACAUCCACAACAUACACUUAAAGCACAUGGCAUUUUUUCUUUUUAAAGUUUUUAUUUAUACUUUUCAAAUUUAUACAUUUCAUUAAUUUCACAAUCAUUUUAACAUUUCAAAGUUUGACUUCCUUCCCCCUCUUUCUGUGGUGCCUUAAAUUUAUUUUUUAACACCUUAAGUAAAGGUAAAGGGACCCCUGACCAUUAGGUCCAGUCAUGACCGACUCUGGGGUUACGGCGCUCAUCUCGCUUUAUUGGCCGAGGGAGCCGGCGUACAGCUUCCGGGUCAUGUGGCCAGCAUGACUAAGCCGCUUCUGGCAAACCAGAGCAGCGCACGGAAACACCAUUUCCCUUCCCGCCGGAGCGGUACCUAUUUAUCUACUUGCACUUUUGAUGUGCUUUCGAACUGCUAGGUUGGUAGGAGCAGGGACUGAGCAACGGGAGCUCACCCUGUCGCGAGGAUUCGAACCGCCGACCUUCCGAUCGGCAAUGCCUAGGCUCUGUGGUUUAACCCACAGCGCCACCCACGUCCCUUAAUACCUUAUGCAUAUCCAAAUUCAUUUAAUUAUUUACUCUUUUGAAACUGCAGGUUAUUACAAUAAUCCUGCCAAUGUUUUUAUCUGUUUGCAAUUUACCUGCAAAUAUUCAACAAACCAUUUCCAUUCUUGAUUUCUUAUUCUUCCUGUAAGUUUCACCAUUUCUGCAUAUUAUAAGUUUUUGUAUCCAUUCUUCCUUUGCUGGGACAUCUGCUUCUUUCCAUUUUGGGGCUCAUGUGGCGUUUUUCAAAGAAUCACGGGAACUGUAGUUUUUUAAGGGUACUGGGAAUUGUAUCUCUGUGGUGGGCAAACUACAGCUGCCUUCACAUACCCUCCAACAUGUCUCCAGUGAAAAUAGGGAAGUCCUCUUGAAUAAUAAUAAUAAUAAUAAUAAUUUUAUUAUUUAUACCUCACUCGUCUCACUGGUUUGCCCCAGCGACUCUGGGCAGCUUCCAACAUAUAUAGAAACAUAAUAAUAUGGAUAGAAACACAAUAAAUAAAUUAAAGCUCAAUUAAAAUGAGAAUAAGAUCUAAAUAAAUUAAAGCUCAAGAAGGACAAGCAGGAGGAGGCUGGAAUCUUUUCCAUCCACAGUUAACACUGGGACAGAAGACUGAGCAGGCACAAAAGUCAUGUGGCCACAGUCCUCUCCACUAAGUUGAGAUGUAUGGCAUUUCUAUUUAAAUUACAUUUUUUUCUAAAUGUUAAACAUAGAUUAGCGCAUGCAGAUUUCAUGCAAAUCAGUGUCCUAUUUUGCCCUCUCAUGAUGCAACUCCUCUUGUUUGGCGAAGCACAAGUGCCCUUUUCUUAAUACUGCGGCUGGCGUAGCUUAACAGCACCGGAUUUCCAUUACAGUGGUACCUCGGGUUACAUACGCUUCAGGUUACAGACUCCGCUAACCCAGAAAUAGUGCUUCAGGUUAAGAACUUUGCUUCAGGACAAGGACAGAAAUCGGGCUCUGGUGGCGUGGCAGCAGUGGGAGGCCCCAUUAGCUUCAGGUUAAGAACAGUUUCAGGUUAAGUACGGACCUCAGGAACGAAUUAAGUACUUAACCCGAGGUACCACUGUACUUAGAAUUAAAAAAUGCUUCACGGACCCAAAAGCAGUCCUAGCUGGGCUCGAUGUUUUCACCUGCAGUGCUGUUCUGGUGGAGGCAGCAAGACGAUAAAGCCAUGCCUUGCAGUAACUCUGGAAUAAAUCUUCCUAACCUGACAGCCCAUAAUACUAAUAAAUACAGGGAGAGUUUAUUUCUCCCUCUGUCCAGGGAGAAAAUGACUGCAUGGGAGUCCGCUCUGGCUACUCAAGAGCUUUAUAGAUGAUUACCAAGUCAAUCCCUUCGGUGUCGUGUGCCAAGUGCACCAUCUUAAUAAUUAGAAAAAAGGCCCACAGUCAUUAAAAAAAAAAAUCAGUGGUAAUAACCAUUAUUCCACCCCUCUUGCUGUUUAUGUAGACUGCCUGCCUUCCUUUCUUGCUGUUUCUUUAAUUUACAUCCCCUCCAACACUCCUCCGAUGAAAAUAGGGACAUCCGAUUCCACACCCUCCAACAUUUCUCUGAUGAAAAUAGAGACUCCCCCUCCAACAUUUCUCUGAUGGAAAUACAGUCGUACCUAGGUUUUCGAACAGCUUAAUUCUCGAACGCUUUGGCUCCCGAAAGCCACAAAUCCAGAAGUGACUGUUCCGGUUUGUGAACUAUUUUUGAAGCCGAACGUCCGACACGGGUUCCGCGGCUUCCAAUUGGCUGCAGGAACUUCCAGCGGCCAAUCGGAAGCCAAGCUUUGGUUUUGGAAGUUCGGAAGCCAUCAGAAUGGCAGUUGGCUGUAUCUUCCUGGGCAGCAAUAGUUAAUCAAGCUCUGGUCUGGCCUAUCCCUAUCUACCCAGGCUGGUCCUCAGCAUCUGUAGGGGGAGGACAGCCUUCCAGACUCACCAUCAAGCUGAGAGUGUUGUUGCCUUUGUGCAGUGGGCUCAUUUCUUCACAUGCCCAUUGACAAACAGCUCCAGGCUGGCAAAAACUCUUGAGGAGAGUGUGGAGUAAGGCAAGUGAGGGGGGUGGCCUAGACCAGACAGAGAGGGCCACAUUGUCUCCUGAGCCUGAUGGCACUGUGGUCUAAACCACCGAGCCUCUUGGGCUUGCCGAUCAGAAGACCAGUGGUUCGAAUCCCCGCAAUGGGGUGAGCUCCCGUUGCUCUGUCCCAGCUCCUGCCAACCUAGCAGUUUGAAAGCACGCCAGUGCAAGUAGAUAAAUAGGUACUACUGUGGCAGGAAGGUAAACGGAUUUUACGUGCACUCUGGUUUCCAUCAUGGUGUCCCGUUGCGCUAGAAGCGGAUUACUCAUGACCUGGAAAGCUGUCUGUGGACAAACGCCGGCUCCCUCGGCCUGAAAGCGAGAUGAGUGCCACCACUGGUGGACGAAGGUGGGGGCAGGGGGUGGUCCACCCCAGGUUCCAUCCUGGGGGGGUGAUAUCGCAGCUGCCCCUGCCCCCCAGAAUGCUCGCUGUUCACCGUGCAUGCCCCGGGAUGCGUGCCGCUUGCUGUGCACCCCCAACACUUGCCAUGCCCCCUCGGGUGGCGCACCGUGCCCCCUGGGAUGUGCUCCAGCCAUGCCCCCGGAUGUACGCCGCUCCCGGUGCUGGGGCAGGUAGCUCCGCCACUGGGUGCCACAUCCCAUAGUCUCCUUCGACUGGAUUUAACCGCCCAGGGGUCCUUUACCUUUUGUACCUUUACCUGCUGUAGAUGGAAAGUAGCAAAUAACUCCAGGUGGGUUGUUACAACAGUUCAGCUCUUCUUCUCCCCAGCCCAGUAUGUUUCGCAAUGCCUGCAGUCGGAACAUCCUCCCGCUUUUUGAAUCAUAGCAUAUGACCAAAUCGCUUGGGUCUUUUCCUGUGUCUUUAGCUAUGACUUAAAGUGAGUGGAAUCUGGUCUGUUAAGACAGUGGCUGAUGCCCAACUUAUUGGUAGAUUGGAUCACACUGGCCUCUGAUAACCAGAGAGGUCAUCUUGUAGGAAUACUUUUUUAAAAAAAAGGAGAUAAAAAACACUCUGAGUCUUGGUUAUUGCGUCUACUGAAUAUUUAACCUAUGAACAACUUCUCUGAAUGUGAUG